GAUGAACGCUGGCGGCGUGCCUAAUACAUGCAAGUCGAGCGAACGGACGAGAAGCUUGCUUCUCUGAUGUUAGCGGCGGACGGGUGAGUAACACGUGGAUAACCUACCUAUAAGACUGGGAUAACUUCGGGAAACCGGAGCUAAUACCGGAUAAUAUUUUGAACCGCAUGGUUCAAAAGUGAAGGACGGUCUUGCUGUCACUUAUAGAUGGAUCCGCGCUGCAUUAGCUAGUUGGUAAGGUAACGGCUUACCAAGGCAACGAUGCAUAGCCGACCUGAGAGGGUGAUUGGCCACACUGGCACUGAGACACGGUCCAGACUCCUACGGGAGGCAGCAGUAGGGAACCUUCCGCAAAGGGCGAAAGCCUGACGGAGCAACGCCGCGUGAGUGAUGAAGGUCUUCGGAUCGUAAAACUCUGUUAUUAGGGAAGAACAUAUGUGUAAGUAACUGUGCACAUCUUGACGGUACCUAAUCAGAAAGCCACGGCUAACUACGUG
rnacentral:rRNA from 1 species